rnacentral:misc_RNA from 1 species
GAUGAAGAACGUAGCGAAAUGCGAUAAGUAAUGUGAAUUGCAGAAUUCAGUGAAUCAUCGAAUCUUUGAACGCACAUUGCGCCCCUUGGUAUUCCGAGGGGCAUGCCUGUUCGAGCGUCAUUAUAACCCCUCAAGCUCAGCUUGGUAUUGGGGCCUGCCAUCCUGGCAGCCCUUAAAAUCAGUGGCGGUGCCAUCCGGCUCUAAGCGUAGUAACUCCUCUCGCUAUGGAGUCCUGGUGGAUGCUUGCCAUUAAUCUUUUAACUUCUAUGGUUGACCUCGGAUCAGGUAGGGAGACCCGCUGAACUUAAGCAUAUCAAUAAGCGGAGGA